CAGGCUACAGGAAUGCAUGUAGUAGUCACUCCCUAGAAAGAGGGAGGAGUGUUUGGGGGCCCUAGGGAGAGUCUGCAGUCACCCCUUGGGUGGAGGAUUCUUGCGACUGGCACACCCAGAGGGAGAAAGGGAACCACAGUGUAGGAAGCAGUCUGGGGAAGGGAUAGAGAGAGGAAGCCCAGAACUGGGACACUGAGGGUCCCUGGACUGGAACCUGGAGAAGAGAGGAGGCCUGAGUUCCCUUACUAGCCACCAAGGAACUGAGGCAGUGAAUAGGAUGACUGCCUAGGACUGCUGAGGGACUGUACCCCAGAAGGGGGAACACUGAGCCAAGUGGAGUACCCCAGAGGAUUAAGUCACAACAGAGAUGCUGAGGGUCCUGGAGUGAGCAAGAGCUGCAGCCCUGAGAGAGAGAGAGAGAGAGAGGAAAAACUGUGUGCAAACUGUGGAAGGGGUAUCUAACUCAAGAGCUAAUCCCCAGAGUGACCAAGAGCAGGCGCCAGACCAGCGGCAGGGGGACCUGACAGAUUCCGCUCAUUAAAAGGAGAGAACAGCCCCACCUCUACCCCCACCACAUCACAGGUAGCUCCCAGUAAAACAGUCUAUCUGCUACAGCAUGGCAAUCCCCUUCAGACAGAUCUCCUUCGCCCACAACACCCUUCCUCCCUCUCCCUCCUUUGCAUGCCACAUAGAGAUCCAGCUGAGACGCCCUAUGGUGAAGGGACUCGCCCAAAGCAACACAGGUGAGUGAGGAACAGAACCAAGAAUUGAACCCAGGAGUCCUGCUCUAACUAAGACAACCCUGACACUUAAGGUGCUGCAGGGACUCAUCUUACUACACCUGGAUACCAGGAUGAGAGCUAUCAAGGUAAAUUAUGAGAUGACCCCAAAAUAAAAAGUAGGCCCCAAGGUUUGGUUUGCACCAAGAGAAAAAAAGGAAACAUGAGAACCUGCCCUUUUGCAAAUUGCAUCUCUAAGCAGAAACUUCGGAAGCGGGGAACCUUGGUGCACAAGAGAGGGCUCACAACUAGUAUCAAGAGGAUUGAAAUAAACACAACUGUCUGUGCAGCCAUGUGGAAGGCAGUCUAACCCACGGAUGCUGUGUGGCGGGGGAAACAAGACUUUGAAAAGCAGAAACUAUUUUCCUUUCAACCAGCAAUUGAAAGAGCCCUGGGUGCCUAUUGGAGCUGGAUGUGGCGCAUUUCUGGAGCAGAAAAAAACCCUCACAAAACCAAAAUGUAAGAAAAACAAGCACAGAAAACCCCAGUGAAAUCUCAGGUGAGACACGUUUGGGAAGUUGCCUAUCGCUGCCAGUCACUGGCACAUGAGCACAGGUGACAUCACCAAGGUUCCAGGCACUCCAGUCAACAGGAAACAUAGGUACUUUGUGCCUCGUGGUCAUAAUAAAGCUGGCUGAUUAUUUAGCCCACACAUUACACCUGCCUAGACCUGGGAUAAUCCACUUGCCAGCUUCAUUGCUGAUGGUACCGGUUUGAGGACUGGGAUAGCAGGAAGUGCUGCAGGUCAGGAGUCAGGUACACUGGCAAAGCUGUGCAUGGCGAGCUCAAAGACUACAGUAAUGGGAGCUGACUGAAGUGCAUUGGAUGAACUGUUUAUGGGAUCACAAUUUGAUGCUGCAAGAUAGGAGAGAAAAGUAUUGCCAGGGAUAUGUAAAGGCCCUGGCUGGAAUAGCAGAAGUGUUGAGAGUCAGGUAAGAUAGAGCAAAUCCCACACUUCAUCCAGUGCAUGAAGUCCUGCACUAAGCAAACAAGUCGUGCUUUUUAUUCCCUUCACCCCCAACUUGCAUGGUCCGCCAUCACCACUAGCUGCACUAUCUCAGCUGACAGUCUAUGGGGCUGCAAUUUCAAACUGAUUUUUUUUAAAUAAACAAAGAGAAGAAAGUGAA